rnacentral:rRNA from 1 species
ACGGGUGAGUAAUGCUUGGGAAUCUAGCUUAUGGAGGGGGAUAACUAUGGGAAACUGUAGCUAAUACCGCGUAGAAUCGGGAGAUGAAAGUGUGGGACCUUCGGGCCACAUGCCAUAGGAUGAGCCCAAGUGGGAUUAGGUAGUUGGUGAGGUAAAGGCUCACCAAGCCGACGAUCUCUAGCUGGUCUGAGAGGAUGACCAGCCACACUGGGACUGAGACACGGCCCAGACUCCUACGGGAGGCAGCAGUGGGGAAUAUUGCGCAAUGGGGGCAACCCUGACGCAGCCAUGCCGCGUGAAUGAAGAAGGCCUUCGGGUUGUAAAGUUCUUUCGGUAGCGAGGAAGGCAUUUAGUUUAAUAGACUAGAUGAUUGACGUUAACUACAGAAGAAGCACCGGCUAACUCCGUGCCAGCAGCCGCGGUAAUACGGAGGGUGCGAGCGUUAAUCGGAAUAACUGGGCGUAAAGGGCACGCAGACGGUUACUUAAGCAGGAUGUGAAAUCCCCGGGCUCAACCUGGGAACUGCGUUCUGAACUGGGUGACUAGAGUGUGUCAGAGGGAGGUAGAAUUCCACGUGUAGCAGUGAAAUGCGUAGAGAUGUGGAGGAAUACCGAUGGCGAAGGCAGCCUCCUGGGAUAACACUGACGUUCAUGCUCGAAAGCGUGGGUAGCAAACAGGAUUAGAUACCCU